AUAUGUCCGACGCGAGUCAAAGUGUAGUAUCUGUUCUUAUUAGCUUAACAUCUGAUACGGUUUGUGUUUGGCCCAAAGAUAUUGGGCCAAACACAAUGACCACAAUGGCGGAGUACUUGAAGCCUGCUUCACCUCCAACGCGGGUCGGCCUGGUAUUGUACUAUCUUCGGAACUUUUGGUCUACGGACA